UCGGUGUCGGUCUUUGGAGGAGAUUAAAAAUUACGAGAAUCAUGAAAUUCCUCCUCAGUGUCACAAAGUGAAAACACAAGACAAAGAAGGAAGCGAUAACAAAACCAAAAAUGAAACAGAAGAAAUGAUCGUUGCUCAAAGAAAAGCAAAAACAUAAGUUGUGAGAACCUUUGUUGAAGAAUUUCUUUCAGAAGCUCAUUAAAAUCAGCUUCACAUGUUCAACCCAUAAUCAACAAAAAUUAACUAUUUUGUAAUAUUCAAACUGAAUGAAAACAUUAUCAUCAAUUUAUUUAAUACCUAUGUUGACAA